GACGAACGCUGGCGGCGUGCCUAAUACAUGCAAGUCGAACGCUUUUUCUUUCACCGGAGCUUGCUCCACCGAAAGAAAAAGAGUGGCGAACGGGUGAGUAACACGUGGGUAACCUGCCCAUCAAAGGGGAUAACACUUGGAAACAGGUGCUAAUACCGUAUAACACUAUUUUCCGCAUGGAAGAAAGUUGAAAGGCGCUUUUGCGUCACUGAUGGAUGGACCCGCGGUGCAUUAGCUAGUUGGUGAGGUAACGGCUCACCAAGGCAACGAUGCAUAGCCGACCUGAGAGGGUGAUCGGCCACACUGGGACUGAGACACGGCCCAGACUCCUACGGGAGGCAGCAGUAGGGAAUCUUCGGCAAUGGACGAAAGUCUGACCGAGCAACGCCGCGUGAGUGAAGAGGGUUUUCGGAUCGCAAAACUCUGUUGUUAGAGAAGAACAAGGAUGAGAGUAAAAUGUUCAUCCCUUGACGGUAUCUAACCAGAAAGCCACGGCUAACUACGUGCCAGCCGCCGCGGUAA
rnacentral:rRNA from 1 species